rnacentral:rRNA from 1 species
CCUACGGGUGACAGCAGUGAGGAAUAUUGGUCAAUGGGCGCGAGCCUGAACCAGCCAAGUAGCGUGAAGGAUGACUGCCCUACGGGUUGUAAACUUCUUUUAUAAAGGAAUAAAGUGAGGCACGUGUGCCUUUUUGUAUGUACUUUAUGAAUAAGGAUCGGCUAACUCCGUGCCAGCAGCCGCGGUAAUACGGAGGAUCCGAGCGUUAUCCGGAUGUAUUGGGUUUAAAGGGAGCGUAGAUGGGUUGUUAAGUCAGUUGUGAAAGUUUGCGGCUCAACCGUAAAAUUGCAAUUGAUACUGGCAGCCUUGAGUACAGAUGAGGUAGGCGGAAUUCGUGGUGUAGCGGUGAAAUGCGUAGAUAUAAGGAAGAACUCCGAUGGCGAAGGCAGCCCACUAAACUGCAACUGACAUUGAUGUUCGAAAGUGUGGGUAGCAAACAGGAUUAGAUACCCUUGUAGUC